UGUUGAGUUGCAGCUUUGAAUAUUGUCUGCCUUUGUGUUCUCCUCCCCCUUGGGGAAAUGUGCCUCAUUUGUGGCAAAUGUAGGGGUGCAGCUCUGAACAAGAUGGACAAGAUCCCUGCUGUUGGGGAGCUUGCAGUCGAGGAUCUGUAAAGCACCCACAUAGCUUAAAGGUGGAUGAAGGAAACUGUUCCCUCCAGCCAGUGAUUUGAAACUUUGGAGAGAGGCAGUAUUGGUGCCACAUUUGGCCUAUGGGUUGGUUGGCUGCACUGAGGCUGUUCUUCCCCUGGUUCUUCCUAUAGAAACAGCUUUGGGUGAUGCAGUGGUUUGCUCGGGAAGGGGGUUUUAACGUAGAAAUGACCUUUUGUGUUACUGCCGUGUUUUGGUCCAACAAUAAAACUGAAUAGCCUAAAUCAGAAGUCCUGACUAGUGUGGAACCUGAAAGAUGAUGGCAUCCUCAUUAGACAGACAAGUAAUAAGAAUUGGAUACUCACAGGAUGUUGGAGGAACAGCACACCUUUGGGAAGCAUUUUUGAGCUGAAGCAGAAGGAAGAAAAUAUAUAUAUUUGUGCUUCUCAGAGUUGUAUGUUUUCUACACUGCUGGUGUGGCAAUAGAUUUUUAAAUGUUACUUUUAAAAAGAAAAAUGGAGAUUUGGGAGCAGUAAUGGAGGAUCCUCAGCACCACUGGAAGAUAGGCUGGGUUAGGGGGGUGCUGAAAGUUCCAGCCUCCAAAGCAAACCUAUAGUAUGGCUGUGUGUUGUGUGGGAUGCUGGUGGCAGCUUUGUCAGACACAGAUCAUGGGUCUUGCUCCAGAAUCCAUUGGGCUGCCAAGUGACUCUUUGAAGAUCUGUCUGUAAUGUGUGAGUCUUGUCCAUCUGCUCUUGACUCUGAGCUGGCUAGGUGACUGUUGGUUAUUCCUGGGACAGGUGCUGGGUAGGCCAGGUUUCAGCAUCGCAGACAAGAAGCGCAGGACAGGCUGCAUUGGGGCCAAACACAGAAUCAGCAAAGAGGAGGCCAUGCGCUGGUUCCAGCAGAAGUAUGAUGGGAUCAUCCUUCCUGGCAAAUAAAUUCCCGUUUCUAUCCAAAAGAGCAAUAAAAAGUUUUCAGUGAAAUGUGCAAUUCUGUUGUGUGUUCUGUGAAAGGAUCCUGGCCAUAUUCAAGUCCUUGGACCUCAAGCCACUUAAAGCUUCGAUGGGAGUAGCUGGUAACAACCCCGUCAUCCUCUGAUUGGAUGCCAGUAUUUCCUGGCAGAUCCAAGUCCAAGCUUCAUAGCAUUCAUUGCCUGUGCUUGCCACACCUUGGUUGAUGUGCUGUGGUGCAGUAGCCCCAUUUGGAGGGGAGGGUUUGGUUGAUGUUGGGGUUUGAAUUUAGAGCCUUGAUUAAGCAGGGUGCAGUGCUCCUGUGUUCCAGGAGGCUCCCUGCUAUUCAGUGAUUCUGUUCUGUACUAGAAAUUUUAUCAGCAUUGAUGUGUCAUGAAGGAAUGACAGGCUUUGGUGUGAUGGUUGAGAUUAAUUUUAGACUUAACUGUUCAGGCUCAGGUUUCUUUUACAAUGAGAAUAUAAGGUUCUUGGGAGGCAGUAUGUGCAGAUAAGAGGGCAGUCUUUCCGUUUCCAGCCCUCUCCUUUAACUGUUACCUCUGGUGAGUUGUUAAUCUGCCUCAGUUUCCUUAUCUGUAUCAGGAGGCAGUAAUAGUAAUAUCUCUCAGAGGAUUAAAUGAUUUAAUACUUAACAAAAUGCUCAGACUAGCACCAGGCACGUAGUGCUCAAAAGGGGUUUCAUUUUUGUGUUUGGGUAUAAGAAAUAUUACUUCUGCCAGCUUGCUUCCCUUUGGUGCAAAAAUGAAAAUACUUUCCCUGUGGUGAUUGUCUUUUUUUUUUUUUUGAGACGAGUCUUGCUCUGUUGCCCGGGCUGGAGUGCAGUGGCGCGAUCUCACUGCGAGCUCUGCCUCUGGGUUCACGCCAUUCUGCCUCAUCCUCUCGAGUAGCUGGGACUACAGGCGUCUGCCACCACGCCCGGCUAAUUUUUUUUAUUUUUAGUAGAGACGAGGUUUCACCGUGUUAGCCAGGAAGGUCUGGAUCUUCUGACCUCGUGAUCCGCCCGCCUUGGCCUCCCAAAGUGCUGGGAUUACAGGUAUGAGCCAUCGCGCCCGGCCCCUGUAGUGAUUUUCUAUAUCUAACUGAAGUCGAUGCUCAAAAGCCAUCAUUUUUGUUUGUUUGUUUUUGGUGGUGGUUUUUUUUGUGACAGAGUCUCUCUUUGUCACCCAGGCUGGAGUGUGCAGUGGCAUGAUCUCUGCAACCUCCGCCUCCUGGGUUCAAGCAAUCCUCCCACCUCGGCGUCCCAAGUAAUUAGGAUUACAGCCAUCCACCACCACACCCAGCUAGUGUUUUUUUGUAGAGAUGGGGUUUCACCAUGUUGGCCAGGCUGGUCUUGAACUCAGCAUCCCAAAGUGUUGGGAUUACAGGCGUGAGCCACUGCACCUGGCAAAUAUUUUCUGACACAAUACUUGGCCAUUGGUUCAUCAUUUUCAAUUUCAGGUUUAAAUUUUGGAGCGCGUGUUAAUUCAGUUAGAUAACUUACUAAUUUGUGACUAAUUAGAGUUCGGUUGUCCUUGGGCCACCCGUUCAUUGCUGUUCAGAGAUUCUCAAAUUUGCUGCUUUUGUACGUAUUUUGAAACCUGGAAAUAGAUUAUUUGGUGUGCCUCAUUUUUAAAUGAAAAUAAAGUUACCUUACCCUGUAAGAUGAGCUCUAGUUGG
rnacentral:lncRNA from 1 species